GACGAACGCUGGCGGCGUGCUUAACACAUGCAAGUCGAGCGGUAAGGCCCUUUCGGGGUACACGAGCGGCGAACGGGUGAGUAACACGUGGGUGACCUGCCCUCAGCUCUGGGAUAAGCCUGGGAAACCGGGUCUAAUACUGGAUAUGACUCCAUGACGCAUGUUGUGGGGUGGAAAGCCUUGUGCGGCUGAGGAUGGGCCCGCGGCCUAUCAGCUUGUUGGUGGGGUGAGGGCCUACCAAGGCGACGACGGGUAGCCGGCCUGAGA
rnacentral:rRNA from 1 species